rnacentral:rRNA from 2 species
UGAGGAAUAUUGGUCAAUGGGCGAGAGCCUGAACCAGCCAAGUAGCGUGCAGGAUGACGGCCCUAUGGGUUGUAAACUGCUUUUAUAUGGGAAUAAAGUGAGGGACGUGUCCCUUAUUGCAUGUACCAUACGAAUAAGGACCGGCUAAUUCCGUGCCAGCAGCCGCGGUAAUACGGAAGGUCCAGGCGUUAUCCGGAUUUAUUGGGUUUAAAGGGAGCGUAGGCUGUUUGUUAAGCGUGUUGUGAAAUGUAGGAGCUCAACUUUUAGAUUGCAGCGCGAACUGGCAGACUUGAGUGCGCACAACGUAGGCGGAAUUCAUGGUGUAGCGGUGAAAUGCUUAGAUAUCAUGACGAACUCCGAUUGCGAAGGCAGCUUACGGGAGCGCAACUGACGCUAAAGCUCGAAGGUGCGGGUAUCGAACAGGAUUAGAUACCCUGGUAGUCCGCACAGUAAACGAUGGAUGCCCGCUGUUAGCACCUAGUGUUAGCGGCUAAGCGAAAGCAUUAAGCAUCCCACCUGGGGAGUACGCCGGCAACGGUGAAACUCAAAGGAAUUGACGGGGGCCCGCACAAGCGGAGGAACAUGUGGUUUAAUUCGAUGAUACGCGAGGAACCUUACCCGGGCUUGAAUUGCAGAUGUUUAUAUCAGAGAUGAUAUAUUCCCUUCGGGGCAUUUGUGAAGGUGCUGCAUGGUUGUCGUCAGCUCGUGCCGUGAGGUGUCGGCUUAAGUGCCAUAACGAGCGCAACCCCUUUUUUUAGUUGCCAUCAGGUAGUGCUGGGCACUCUAGAGAUACUGCCACCGUAAGGUGUGAGGAAGGUGGGGAUGACGUCAAAUCAGCACGGCCCUUACGUCCGGGGCUACACACGUGUUACAAUGGGUGGUACAGAGAGUUGGUUGUACGCAAGUGCAAUCUAAUCCUAAAAACCAUUCUCAGUUCGGACUGGGGUCUGCAACCCGACCCCACGAAGCUGGAUUCGCUAGUAAUCGCGCAUCAGCCAUGGCGCGGUGAAUACGUUCCCGGGCCU